rnacentral:rRNA from 1 species
UACGUAGGGUGCAAGCGUUACUCGGAAUUACUGGGCGUAAAGCGUGCGCAGGCGGUCUUGCAAGUCAGGUGUGAAAUCCCCGGGCUUAACCUGGGAACUGCACUUGUGACUGCAAGGCUGGAGUACGGCAGAGGGGGAUGGAAUUCCGCGUGUAGCAGUGAAAUGCGUAGAUAUGCGGAGGAACACCGAUGGCGAAGGCAAUCCCCUGGGCCUGUACUGACGCUCAUGCACGAAAGCGUGGGGAGCAAACAGG